rnacentral:rRNA from 1 species
GACGAACUCUGGCGGCGUGCCUAAUACAUGCAAGUCGAACGCAUUUUCUUUCACCGUAGCUUGCUACACCGAGAGAAAAUGAGUGGCGAACGGGUGAGUAACACGUGGGUAACCUGCCCAUCAGCGUGGGAUAACACUUGGAAACAGCUGCUAAUACCGCAUAAUUCCAUUUACCGCAUGGUAGAUAGAUGUAAGGCGCUUUUGCGUCACUGAUGGAGGGACACGCGGUGCAUUAGCUAGUUGGUGGGGUAACGGCCUACCAAGGCUGCGAUGCAUAGCCGACCUGAGAGGGGGAUCGGCCACACUGGGACUGAGACAAGGCCCAGACUCCUACGGGAGGCAGCAGGAGGGAAUCUUCGGCAAUGGACGCAAGGCUGACCGGGCAACGCCGCGGGAGGGAAGAAGGGUUUCGGAUCGUAAAACUCUGUUGUUAGGGAAGAACAAGGAUGGGAGUGGAAAGUUCAUCCCUUGACGGUAUCUAACCAGAAAGCCACGGCUAACUACGUG